GGCAGCAGCCGCGGUAACACCGGCAGCUCUAGUGGUAGCAAUUUUAUUGGGCCUAAAGCGUCCGUAGCCGGUUUAAUAAGUCUCUGGUGAAAUCCUGCAGCUUAACUGGUGGGAAUUGCUGGAGAUACUAUUAGACUGAGACCGGGAGAGGUUAGAGGUACUCCCAGGGUAGAGGUGAAAUUCUGUAAUCCUGGGAGGACCGCCUGUUGCGAAGGCGUCUAACUGGAACGGUUCUGACGGUGAGGGACGAAAGUUAGGGGCGCGAACCGGAUUAGAUACCCGGGUAGUCCUAACUGUAAACGAUGCGGACUUGGUGUUGGGGUGGCUUUGAGCUGCUUCAGUGCCGAAGGGAAGCUGUUAAGUCCGCCGCCUGGGAAGUACGGUCGCAAGACUGAAACUUAAAGGAAUUGGGCGGGGGAGCACCACAACGCGUGGAGCCUGCGGUUUAAUUGGAUUCAACGCCGGACAUCUCACCAGAGGCGACAGCUGUAUGAUAGCCAGGUUGAUGUACUUUGCUUGACUAGCUGAGGGGAGGUGCAUGG
rnacentral:rRNA from 1 species